CUCGAACUCUCGUCUUUUUGGGAUCGCCGUGAUCGCACAGAUUGACGAAUGACGACGUAGCAGAGAGCUGGUUGGUGCGCGGAUACCGGGACACAAGAGGGGACAGCAUCUUCCACAUCGCCACGGCAACGUUCAUCACGAAUAAGAAGAAUCGCGGGACGGAAAAUCGAGACGAGGGAGCGAGGGGCACCUAGCCCUUUGGCGAACUCGAAGGAUGCAGCUCCCAGGCGGGAGCACGAGGAUUCCACCCGCAAGAGCACCGGCCUCACUUCUCGUGAUCAUCAACGGGAGUAAUAUAGCAUCGAUUGUCACGAAGAAACGUAACAACAAACGUAAAAACAGCAGCGAAAGCGGCGGAUCCGGUAGAAAUAGCGAUAAAAACGUAAGAAAAAACGACAGUAGUGGAAAAAACGGUGCUGAGAGGAACGAGCCGUGUCUCCUAAAGAGAAGUCGCCAUCCCGAGACGAGGACGAACCGCCGACACCGAGUCACCGAGAAGCCCCAGCUGCUGGCGUCAACCCCAAGGCGGAAGGAGCGGGGCGCGGAAUAGUGAAAAGAAAAUAAAGAAAAAUCGAGGAACGACGGAAGAAGAGGAA